rnacentral:tRNA from 1 species
CGCGGAGUGGAGCAGUGGUAGCUCGUCAGGCUCAUAACCUGAAGGUCGUUGGUUCGAACCCAGCCUCCGCAACCA